UCCCAUGUCUUGUACCCUGGCUGCAGUCAGAACGGAAGUCAGCAUCCCCCUGGUAGCCACAUGGCCUCAGUGAGAGAACUAGCUUCAGACUUGACUCAUCUCUCUGGUUUGCUGCUUUUGCUUUAGUAGAAUCAGUGGUGUUAUUUAAUCCAAUGCUAUUUUCCUUUCUUGUCAUAUGGAUGACAGAAUAUUAUUUUCCAUUUUUCUCUUUUUAAAUAGAACUUCUUCUAUGCCUUGAUUUUUUUUUUUUUUAUGAUAAAACCUUUCAGUUUGUUUUUUUUGGUUUUUUUGUUUUUGUUUUGUUUUUUCUUUUUCUUGUUUUGUCUUUUUAGGGCCGUACCCACGGCAUGUGGAAGUUUCCAGGGAUCAAACCCAAGUCCUCCUAGACACUAGUCAGGUUCAUUACCACUGAGCCACCAUGGGAAAUUCCAUUGUAGUAUUUUGUCAUAUUUGCCAUGUGUGCAUGCGUGCAUGUGUAUAAUUUUAUGAACCAUUUGGAAGUCUGUGACAUAUAUCACGUCACUUAACCCUGCAUGUUUUGCUGUACAUCUUCUGAAAAUAAGGAUAUUCUCCUUUAUAAUCACUAUACCAUAUCAUACCUUAGAAAAUGAAUAAGAAGUCUCUAAUAUUUUGUCUGACACCUCGUCCAUAUUUAAAUUCCCCAGUUGUCCCUAAAUAUAUGUUAUAUAUAUUUUUCCCCUAAAAUGGGAGUAAUGUAGUGAUGCAUUUUUAAAGAUAUUUAUUUGUCAGUAGGGCUAUUUGGUUCACCAUACUUUCAGAUGUGGAAACAAACUUUAUUGUUUGGCCUUUUCUGAACUUUGCUUCUUGACUACUACAUUUUUCUAGUAGCCAAAUUACUGGUUUUUUUGUUCUUUUUUUUUUUUGCUUUUUAGGGCCGCACUGGCGCCAUAUGUCCCCAGGCUAGGGGUCCAAUCAGAGCUGCAGCUGCUGGCCUACACCACAGCCACAGCAAUGUGGGAUCCGAGCCAUGUCUUCCACCUACACCAUAGCUCACGGCAACGCCAGGUGCCUAACCCACUGAGCAGGGCGAGGGAUCAAACCCACAUCCUCAUACAUACUAGUUAGGUUCGUUACUGCUGAGCCAUGAUGGGAACGUCUAGAAUUACUGUAUCUUUUGCUCUCUAUUCACUUUCCUUGUGAAUUGCUUAUUAUUUGGUAUGCAGUUAAAGAACUAUAAUUUAGUUGAAAAACUGUUUUACUUCCUUUUAAAAGAGUUGUCUCUCUCAAGUGGAGGAUCCGGAAGAGGUUAGCUCAUUGUCUUUCUUCCAAAUAGCUACAUAUUCUAAGUUUUGUUCCGUCAAGGGAUUGACCUCACCUAAGGUG
rnacentral:lncRNA from 1 species